rnacentral:lncRNA from 1 species
UCAGGGUUUGCAAAUAAAGUUAGCGCCUUUGGUUCCUUGAAGCCUGAGAAUCAGGACGUUAGGUUUGAUUCGAAAGAGACCAUAUAAAAUUGGGGAAAAGUGUUUGUGUUAACGCCAGUUCUAGUACCCUUUUAGAACUUGUGCCUGAAACCAGGAAAAUUUUGAAUUUGUGAUUCCCAUGUAUGAUCCUUCUAAGGGCCUUGUGGUGGAUCUAGCUGUUAUAGGUGGUGGCCCUGCAGGACUAGCGGUCGCCCAGCAUGUUUCAGAAGCUGGGCUAUGAGUUUGCUCGAUUGAUCCUUUACCCAAAUUGAUAUGGCCCCAAUAAUUACGUUGUUUGGGUUGAUGAAUUUGAGGGCAUGGAUUUGUUGGAUUGUCUUGACACCACCUGGUCGGGUGCUAUGGUUUUCAUUGACGACAAGACAACUAAAGAUCUUGAUAGACCUUAUGGGAGGCUAACAGGAACCAGCUGAAAUCGAAAAUGAUGUAGAAAUGCAUUUUGAAUGGCGUCAAAUUUUAUCAAGCUAAGAUUGUGAAAGUAACUCACUAGGAAUCAAAAUCUUUGUUGAUUUGCGAUGAUGGUGUUACCAUUCAGGCUGCUGUGGUUCUUGAUGAGACCGGAUUUUCCAGAUGUCUUGCACAGUAUGAUAAGCCUUGUAUAGCUUACAAGAUUUGGGCAGAAGUGGAAGAACACCCUUUUGAUGUAAAUAAAAUGGUUUUCAUGGAUUGGAAUGACUCACAUCUCAACAAUAAUAAAGAGCUGAAGGAGAGAAAUAGCAAGAUUCCAACUUUUCUCUAUGCAACGCUAUUUUCAUUCGAAAAGAAUAUUCCUUGAAGAAACAUCCCUUGUAGCUCGUCCUGGAGUGCCUAUGGAUGACACUAAGGAAUGAAUGGUAGCUCGGCUUAGUCACUUAGGUAUAAAUAUUAGAAGCAUUGAAGAGGAAGAGCAUUGUGUAAUUCCAAUGGGGGGCCGUCUUCCAGUUUUACCUCAGAGAGUUGCUGGGAUUGGCAGUACAGCUGGGAUGGUGCACCCGUUGACUGGGUAUAUGGUGGCAAACUACUGGCAAUGACUCUGGCUGCAGUUGUCGCCAAUGCAAUAGUUCAAUAACUAGGCUCUGAGAGAAGCCUUUUUGGGUCGGAAUUGUCUUCAGAAGUUUGGAAAGAUUUGUGACCAAUAGAAAGUAGACGCCUAAGCGAGUUCUUUUGUUUUGUUUUGGAUUUCUUCUCAAGCUUGAUUUACAAGCCACCCGAAGGUCUUUUAAUGCUUUUUUCGACUUGAAACCUCGUCAUUGGCAUGGAUUCUUGUCACCUGGGCUAUUUCUCAUACAUCUCAUACUUUUCGGGCUCUCUUUUUGCUCCUUCCAACAAUACUUCUAGGAUAGAGAUCAUGGCAAAAGGCACUGCUCCUUCUGUAAAGAUAAAGACAGAGAGCCCACAAUUUUCAUCCCUGUAUGUCGACCCUAGUUGCGAUAUCUCUUUAUUGCUUUAACCUUUUAAGUAAAUGCAGUACGAGUUAGCUUCUUUUCAUCGCAUCUUUUUCGAGUUUCCUCUUUCUGAGUGAGGGAUUAUGUUGACUGAACUUACCAUUGUACAUAACUACAGAACAUAUAAUCAUAUCUUUCCAUACAGAAGCGUAAUUUUUUGUGCCAGUUAAGUCCAUGGGUAUCAUUUCGGUAAGCUGUUAAUUUCAUUUUCUCUGCCUG